AACUGCAUCGUCUAUAAUCAAAAUGGGAAAACUACUAGAUGUUCUGACUCUCCUAGUCUGUCUGGUUGUCCUGUCAUCCGGUAUUCCCAGUGGUGGGUGCCACAAUGGACAUGUUUUAAUGUGUCAUGACUGGACACAUUGUUGCGAUGGAUAUAAGUGUGAUUAUAGAUACGGCCAUUGGGGUUACUGUGUAAUGAUGAAUGGUGAUGUUUAUAAACCUGGUUAAAACUGAGACGAUGGCGCCAGAUCCUCAGGAAAUGACAAUGCAAUAUACCACUUUUCUUGAUUUAACGUUACGUUUGUGAUUUGAGUCAUUUUCUUGCCUAGAAAUAAAAUCUUGUCUACAACCUC